CACACUGCCGAGAAAAGCCUCUAGAUAGAAAAUAGGUGCCCGUACCGCAAACCGACACAGGUAGUCAAGAUGAGAAUUCUAAGGUGAGCGAGCGAACUCUCGUUAAGGAACUCGGCAAAAUGACCCCGUAACUUCGGGAGAAGGGGUGCUCUUUAGGGUUAACGCCCAGAAGAGCCGCAGUGAAUAGGCCCAAGCGACUGUUUAUCAAAAACACAGGUCUCUGCUAAACCGUAAGGUGAUGUAUAGGGGCUGACGCCUGCCCGGUGCUGGAAGGUUAAGAGGAGUGGUUAGCUUCUGCGAAGCUACGAAUCGAAGCCCCAGUAAACGGCGGCCGUAACUAUAACGGUCCUAAGGUAGCGAAAUUCCUUGUCGGGUAAGUUCCGACCCGCACGAAAGGCGUAACGAUUUGGGCACUGUCUCAACGAGAGACUCGGUGAAAUCAUAGUACCUGUGAAGAUGCAGGUUACCCGCGACAGGACGGAAAGACCCCGUGGAGCUUUACUGUAGCCUGAUAUUGAAAUUCGGCACAGCUUGUACAGGAUAGGUAGGAGCCUUUGAAACGUGAGCGCUAGCUUACGUGGAGGCGCUGGUGGGAUACUACCCUAGCUGUGUUGGCUUUCUA
rnacentral:rRNA from 1 species